AUUAGUGCCCCCAUAAAAGGACACAUGAGAACUUGCUUUUUCCUUCUCCCUUCUCCAUGUGUGGACACAGGCGAGAAGACGAACCUCUGCAAUUCAGGAACACCGAUGCAUUCAUGCAGCAAUGGCAGCCUUGGGUCACCAAAUAGAGACUGAGGAGCUGCAGGAGAGAGCAAGAUGUGCUGCUAUGUGCAUGAGGCCCACCCACAAAGACAACAACAGGGUGCUAGAGCAAUGGGCAGGGGGGAUGUGGAUGAAGACAAGCAUAAGGAAGAGCAGAGGUGUGAGGGAGGGGCACAAACAGAGUAGGACACAUAGAAGAGAGCACAAGGGAUGCUGCAGGUGAUGAGAUUCUGGAGAUUUUUGCUCAGCAGAGGAACUUCAGGCAGCCUCUAGAUAUGGAAGUGACUUCUGAUCGACACCUAACAGAAACAAAAACAAGAAUGAAGCUCUGUACCCUACAACCAUAAGGAAAUAAGGUCAUAAACAACCAUGUGACCCAUGAAGACCCUUCCUCAGCUGAGCCUCCAGAUGAGAACUCAGCCCUGGUCAACUCCUUGAUUGCAGCUUAUGAGACUCAAAGCAGAGGACACAGUUAAGCCAUGUAUUGUUUUGAACCACUCACCUGUGAUCAUUUGUUAUAUAGCAUCAGAACACCAAUACAAUAUGAAACUGGAAGACUGUCUGAUAUAAAAUAUUUAUGAUCCUGUGUCUCAAAAGUAAGAAAGGGGAUGUGGUGAAAUACAGAAGAAAGCAUAUUUCUACACUUGGGGAA